rnacentral:rRNA from 1 species
AGAGUUUGAUCCUGGCUCAGAACGUACGCUGGCGGCACGCCUAACACAUGCAAGUCGAGCGGGGUAGCAAUACCUAGCGGCAGACGGGUGCGUAACAUGUGGGAAUCUGCCUUUUGGUUUGGAACAACAUGGGGAAACCUGUGCUAAUACCGGAUAAGUCCUAACGGAGAAAGUUUUAAUGCCAAAAGAUGAGCCCGCAUUUGAUUAGCUUGUUGGUGAGGUAAAAGCUCACCAAGGCUAUAAUCAAUAGCUGAUUUGAGAGGAUGAUCAGCCACACUGGGACUGAGAUACGGCCCAGACUCCUACGGGAGGCAGCAGUGGGGAAUCUUGCACAAUGGGCGAAAGCCUGAUGCAGCGAUGCCGCGUGAGUGAAGAAGGCCUUUGGGUUGUAAAGCUCUUUUGUCGGGAAAGAUAAUGACUGUACCCGAAGAAUAAGGUCCGGCUAACUUCGUGCCAGCAGCCGCGGUAAUACGAAGGGACCUAGCGUAGUUCGGAAUUACUGGGCGUAAAGAGUAUGUAGGCGGCUAGAUAAGUUAAUUGUGAAAGCCCAAAGCUUAACUUUGGAACUGCAAUUAAAACUAUUUAGCUGGAGUAUGAUAGAGGAAAGCGGAAUACAUAGUGUAGAGGUGAAAUUCGUAGAUAUUAUGUAGAACACCAGUUGCGAAGGCGGCUUUCUGGAUCAUUACUGACGCUGAGAUACGAAAGUAUGGGUAGCGAAGAGGAUUAGAUACCCUCGUAGUCCAUACCAUAAACGAUGAUUAUUAAAUGUGGG